GCAUCCGUCACGGGAGAAUCGGAUCAUCCGAUGCCGAAGGAGCAACCGCCCCGGAAACUCUCAGGCACAGGGACCGUGCAGGAUAU
rfam:Sulfitobacter sp. AM1-D1, complete genome.